rnacentral:rRNA from 1 species
UACGUAGGGUGCGAGCGUUUGUCCGGAAUUAUUGGGCGUAAAGAGCUCGUAGGCGGUGUGUCACGUCGGCCGUGAAAACCUGCAGCUUAACUGUGGGCGUGCGGUCGAUACGGGGCAUCACUGGAGUUCGGCAGGGGAGACUGGAAUUCCUGGUGUAGCGGUGAAAUGCGCAGAUAUCAGGAGGAACACCGGUGGCGAAGGCGGGACUCUGGGCCGAUACUGACGCUGAGGAGCGAAAGCGUGGGGAGCGAACAGG